CCUCCAUCUGCCUGCCUACGUAUUUAAAAAACAAAAACAAAAAACGCUGUCUCUGUUCCACUGCAGAAUUUUGCAAAGAAUGUUGUGACCGUGUGCUCCUCCCGGGAGAUCGCUGGUUGUUAAGGAUGUCUUCCAGAAGUCUGCCAUUUCCUGCAUGAAAAAAGAUGAGGAUGAGACAAGCUGCUGUGCUCACUUAAGGCAUCCUCCAAAGACCCUUGGAUCAGACUGCGCUGAGAAAGAACAGCCGAACAUGAGCAUGUUUAUGUAGGCAGGGCAGAAAGAUCCCUUCCCCAGGCCUCCAGAAGCCAUCCAACACCAGAGACAUGCAAGACGUCGGCCUCGGAGGAACGCCUCCCCACAGUGCUGCAGGAAUGCAGACUAAAGGAAACUCACUAUUCUACAAAGCACCACCCAACACCCCACACCCCCCCCAACCCCUUACAGUUCUUCACCAACCGCCCUAACUGCCAAAGGAGAUCCUCACCAAAAUCAUUUCCUGCAAGUCAGGGGGGUCGGAGGCGAGAAGGGCCUCCUCCCUCUAAAACAACACGGCUCUGCAGUAUCGCUCAGGUCCAGUUUUUCCACUCGGCAACUCCUUGACAAACGACUAUGAGGGUCCAGGAAAUGUCAGGUUGAGGAAAUGAGCUGGCCGUACUUUUGUGUGUGUGUAUGUAUACACUUUAAAAAAAAG